rnacentral:rRNA from 1 species
UACGGGGGGGGCAAGCGUUGUUCGGAAUUACUGGGCGUAAAGGGCUCGUAGGUGGCCAACUAAGUCAGACGUGAAAUCCCUCAGCUUAACUGGGGAACUGCGUCUGAUACUGGAUGGCUUGAGUUUGGGAGAGGGAUGCGGAAUUCCAGGUGUAGCGGUGAAAUGCGUAGAUAUCUGGAGGAACACCGGUGGCGAAGGCGGAUCUCUGGGCCAUUACUGACGCUGAGGAGCGAAAGCCAGGGGAGCAAACGGG